UCAGUAGGACCACCUAAAGUAGGCCCGGG
rnacentral:piRNA from 1 species